CAUCCGGAGCGCUGCCGCCCCCGCGCGGGCAUCGCGCCGUGCUGCUGCGCGUCCGUCCAUUGGCGCAACUUCCGGAGUCCGUAGCGGAGUGCAGAAAGCCGUGUAGAAACACGGAAAAGGACAGGAAUGGUUCUUUACUUCACACCUGGCGUUACUUUCUGCUGCUGCCUCUUCUGGCCGUGCAGGUGCUCUUCGGAGCAUCGCCGUGUGGGGCAGAGCUGUGCGAGCUGCAGCUCUGUGACGGGGUGCUGCUGCAAAGCCCUGCUUUCUUGGCACGUUCGUGUUAAGCUUCUCCAUCCUUUAAGAAAAAGAAGUACUUGGACGAUUGUUGGCUGUGGUCUUUAAUAGGAUUUGCAGCUGUAAAUGUGCUUUCAUAGAAUUUGCAUCUGGGCCUCUUAAAAUAACGUUGGAGCUUUGUGAUUCGGGAUAGUGUGCCUCCCACUCACCGUUCUGUAGCUGUGAGUGCUGUGGAGCAAGAGGAGAACAUGAGCAGAACCAAAACUUUAAUACGUGGUAAAAGAGGAAGAAGCAGAAUUGUGUGAUUCAGGGCUGGGACUGUAAGUGAAUGCAUUUGGGUGCUGCUUUUUGCUUUGCUGUUGCCUUGGUUUCUGCUCUCGCAUGCAGCUUUCAACCUGUCUGAUUUUUCUCUGUCAGUAAACCGGCAAUAAGAAAACCUCUGAGAAUUGUUAGGUCAGUAGAUGAGGUGAGAAUUUCAGGGAUCUUCGUGCACUGUCACAGGCUGGAUUAGAAAGGUGGGAAGUGGUGCAGGAUGUGGUGCUGGUGCCCAGAGAGAGCUGUGGGUCUUCGGUUUGUCAGACUGAAAAGCCAUUGGUGGCUGGGGGACUAACGAAGAAAUGUGUUAUCUUAAAAAGCUGCAGAGCAGAUACUGCCUGCCUGCAUGGCUCCAGGCCAGCAGUUUUCAUAGCUGGUAGCAGAAUGUCAAUCCAGAAUACACAGAAAAGAAAGCAGUGUGACUCUGCAAAGUGCUUUAAAUCUCACAGGUAAGGAUUUGAGGGAAGAGAUGGAAGAGAGCCACCGUAGCACGUGUGGUUUGCUCAGCAGGCAGAUGCCCUCCUUCUGGAGAGCAGGAGCCCUGCCAAAGCAGGGAAGGGUGCAGGUGGAGAGAGCAGUGUCAAGUCCCAGACAAGUGUCAUGUCCCAGAGGUGCUAUAUGUGAUGAGGGAAGCCAGUGUGUCUGAGCAACAUUAGCUUUGUCCCGGAAGAACCUGCAGGGCUGCGCUGUGCAGGCGGGGCAGCCCUCAGUAGUGCAUUUUUUUUGCUUCUUAGGAGCUGGGCAGAGAGCAGAUGAGAGCAAAAGGCACCUGGCAGUGCUUGGCCAAGCACAGCCCAUUGGCAAAGGGCUUACACAGAUGUUAUGGUCAGAUUCCACAUUUUAGCUGCGUCUCUAAUCCAAAAAAGGUUUAAGUGUAAUUGAAUGCAUUGGAACUUGAAUGUGCGUGUAGUUGCUUGGCUGAGUCGUGGCUGGAGCCAGUGAUGUUUCUGCUGAGACAGCCAGUAAAGAGGGCAGUGUGGCUCUGCUGCAGGUAUUUACAUUGGCCUAGUCAGAAAUGGACUGGAGAAUGUGUUGCAGCCUCUCCUCCGCUGUAUCCUAACCAAGGUUGAGAAGUCAGAGAUGUUUUUCUUUUUUAAUAGGAACAGUAUCAAAGAUUUUUUCUGUAACAUCUCUGUGUCCCCUGGUUCCUUGAUCUCUUUCAUAUGUGACUUUCUUGUUCAUAGAGAUUUGCAGCCCUCUGAACUUCCUGGUAGCAAGUAAAGAUGUAUAAUGUAUAAAACAUGUCUGAAUCCAGAAAUAUCUCUUGGUGUCUCUGCUCUCUGUUGAUCAAUUCAGGUUUCCAAAACCAGAGGGUGAAUUUCCCCAGCAUCAGUGACCAAGGCAGCUUUCAAGCUUGGGAUGGAGCUGGCGAGCACACAGGAUCCUUAUUUGCGAGUGGUUGUGCACACUGCAGUGUGCUGCAGAGCCCUGACACUUCUGCUACAGGCUGUGUUUGACCUGCUGAUCCCAGAUCACACAGCAGAUGCCUUCUCCCCGCCUCGUCUGCCCGAGCCUGGCGAGUACGACCUGCUGCUGGAGCGGCUGCUGGGGGGCCUGGCACACUGGGACGCAGAGCAUUUCCUCUUCAUCGCAGAGUGGGGUUACCUGUAUGAGCACAACUGCGCCUUCUUCCCGCUUUACCCUCUCAGCUUGCGAGCUGUGGCUGACAGUGCUCUGUGGCCCCUGCGGCAGCUGCUGUGUUUGUGGAGCCGCCUGUUGCUGUCAGCCGUCCUCCUUAAUUCUGUCUUUUCUGUGCUGGCAGCCGCUGCCCUGUACAAGCUGGGCUGUGCCGUGCUGCGGUGCCGCAGGACAGCCUUCCUCGCUGCCCUUCUCUUUUGUAUCAGCCCUGCCAACGUGUUCAUGGCGGCUGCUUACUCGGAGAGCAUGUUUGCCUUCCUGGCCUUCAGUGCCAUGUGGCAACUGGAGAAGGGGCAGAGCUGGCUCAGCAUGCUGCUCUUCUCCCUUGCCACUGGCGUGCGUGCCAAUGGGCUUGUGAAUGCUGGUUUCUUUCUCUACUCCCGCAGUAAAUCCUUUGCCCUCCAGCUCCAGGUGGGUUCAGGCUCAGUAAGGAGGCUCGCUCUCUUAUGGAGGCAGCUCCUCAGUGUGGCAUUUUCCAUACUUACGACAUGUGCUGGGAUUUGUCUACCUUUUGCUUUAUUUCAGUAUUAUGCCUACAUGAGGUUCUGCAGCCCUGGCCUGGAGCUGGCUGUUCCUGAGCCGCUGCGGCAGCUGGCUUUGGACAAAGGCUAUCGUCUGGUGUCCCCCCAUGGGGUUAAGCCCCCUUGGUGCUCCCAGCGGUUCCCUGUGGUCUAUUCUUAUAUUCAAGAUGUUUAUUGGAAUGUGGGCUUUCUGAGGUAUUUUGAGCUCAGACAAGUACCAAAUUUUUUGCUUGCUUUGCCUGUCUCGCUUUUGAGCUCGUGGGCUGCCUGGACCUUCAUUAUUGCAAACCCGCGGCACUGCCUGACCCUGGGACUAGAGAGAAGAAAGAAGAAACGAGAGGGUAAACCCAGAGCUGGGUUUUGCUGCCCUGCUGUCUUCGUGUACGUGGUCCAUGCUACAGCCCUGCUGGUGCUGGGGUUCUUCUGCAUGCAUGUUCAGGAUUCGUGCUGGCAAUCCAGUGCCACCUCAAGCACCCGGUGUGCAGUGGGAAGCAUCCUGCAUCCUUCCAUCAACCAGUCAGGCAUUGUGAGAUCCAGGAGGUUAUCCCAGGCAGCCAAACUACAAUGCUCUGUCCAAUGCCAACUACCCCAGUCCCGGGAUGGGAGGAAGCAUGAACCCAAUGGCAGCAGGGAGCCAGAUGCAUGGGCAGACCGGUGUGCCUCCAUACAGUGGGCUUCCUCCCGGGAGGAUGAGCCACGCAGCCAUGGGGAACAGACCUUAUGGACCUAACAUGGCAAAUAUGCCUCCUCAGGUGGGGACAGGGAUGUGUCCCCCACCAGGGAGCAUGAAUCGCAAAGCACAAGAAGCGGCUGCUGCCGCCAUGCACGCUGCUGCCAACUCCAUCCAGAACAGGCCUCCUGGUUAUCCCAACAUGAACCAAGGAGGAAUGAUGGGUACUGGACCUCCUUAUGGACAGGGAAUUAACAGCAUGGCUGGCAUGAUCAACCCCCAGGGCCCACCUUAUCCCAUGGGUGGAAAUAUGGCUAACAACUCUGCAGGGAUGGCAGCAAGUCCUGAAAUGAUGGGUCUUGCGGAUGUCAAAUUAACUCCUGCAACUAAAAUGAACAAUAAGGCUGAUGGGACCCCAAAAGCAGAAUCCAAGUCAAAGCAGAGAGCUGUACUGGCACUUCUGAUCCAGCCCUAUCAAGUUCGCUUCUCAAAAACUCUACGCUUUCUAAUUGAAAUGGAAAUGAUCACUCUUCCAUUCAGAAUAAAAAGAUGAAUAUUUUAAAUAAAAGCCACACUGAGAAAAACAUACAGUUCCAUGCAGGAUCACCAGCUAUCUCUGAGAAAGCUUUGCUUUAAAGGAUCAGUCUUUCACUUGCAAGUCUUCUGCUUGAAUUGCAUUUCAGCAAGCAUUGGUGAGCCAAAAUUGAACUAUCUUUUGCAAAGAUGUGAGGAAGAAUUGAGAGCAUGCAGGCUGCGUGUGAAACUACAGAAAGUCAUCACAUUCAACAUGUGUCAGACCUCCCUGCCUUGAGUUCUGCCGCCUGAGUUCACACUCUCUGAGGACAGAACUGCCUCUGCCUGCAGCCCUGGGAUGUGACUGAACUGCAGUCUCAGAAGUGUUUUGUUUCACAUUGCUUGCUCUACUGAGAAAGGUUUGGGCAUUAACAGCUGCAAGGAAAAAAAGGUUUGAAAACUGAAACCAACUGUAGCCUGCAGCAAGAAGUCUGGCCUCCAUCUGCAGGGAUUUGACAAGAGGCAGGAGUGCAGCAGAGAGGAGUGUGGGCAGUUCCCCCAGCUGUUGGCAGAUUCUCUUUUGGUCCCAGGAGAAGCACUGGGAGAUGUCCUGUGUGUGUCUGCAGCGCUCUGUGCCUGAAGGGUGUCCCCAUGCAAUGGGGUUGUUCCUUCUCCAAGCCUGCUGCACUCGGGCUCACAACAUGAAGCAAUGUUAAGGACACAAGCUGGAUUCCUCUUGAAUGAAACAGAGCCAGAAAAUGUUCUCCAGAAUCACACCUCAAGCAUUCUGGCUGUAAAUUGAUGUUCAGAUAGAAACCACUUAAGAGUCAUACAACCACACAACGAUUUGUGUUUGAAGGGACCUUAAAGGCCACCCGGUUCCAAGACCCUGUUGCAGGCAGGAUUGUCAUGACCAGCUCAGGCCGCCCAGGGCCCCAUCCUAGAACACCUCCAGGGAUGGGACAUCCACGGCUUCUCUAGGCAGCCUGUGCCAUGCUUCACCACCCUCUGAAUAAAGAAUUUCCUUCUGAAAUCUAAUACUUAGAGCAGCCCAGUCCUGAGCACCAGUGGACUGUGCAGCAGCCUGGGAAGUUUCAUACCCCAAAAGAACAUGCGCUCCACAGACAUAGGUCCCCUUCACUGUCUGUUUAGCCAGUCCAGUACUAGAACAAACUAAGUUGCUACUGAAAUGCAUAUACAGGGUGAACACCAGGCCCUCAGCACCAAGGGUUUUGUUCUACAGUCUGGCUCCUACUUGUCAACAUUUGCUCAUGUGAGCUCAACCUGUGAUGCCAUCAGCACCCCCAGCUGGCAGGUGCCAAUUCCUUCUCUGUCCCUAGCUUCUCCAUGGCCAGGAAACAAGCAUAACAGAUAGAGGGAACUGAGCUCUGCAGAUCAGAGCAACCCAGAGUGAGAUAAAUCAAAUUCCAGCAAAUGAGACAAACCAGGAUCACAUGAAAUAGACACUUAUCACACAGCUCACGCUACCAGCAUACUCCAGCUACACUGGAGCAGGAAACAACCAUGAAAUGACAUCUAUUACAACUCACUUCAUCAAGUUUUAAUCACAUUUGUGAUUGAUAUUCCUACAGAAUUACUAUUUGGGUGUGUAAAGCAUAAACACUUUCCUGAAAGUCCCUGACGUGGUCAUCUUACCCACAACAGUCACAGUAACCUCCUUGGUACAUUCAAGGAAUUCAGUGAGCCUGAUAUUAAAUGUUCACUAAAGAAGUAAGGUUCUGUUCCUUGUAGUUGUAUUUCCGAGAUCUCUCCAUGCACCAGUCACCUUGCUGGUCAAAUACAAAUCCAACUCCUUCUGAUCUUCAUCAAUCAAUCUCCUCAGACAUUUAUUCACUCUGUCAUCCCUCUCCCAAACUCCUUCUAUUGUGGCAACAGCUUUUUGAGUUUAAAGCACCCUAAUUAAACACUUUCUCACCACUGCCAGAUUAAUGGUUCA